rnacentral:rRNA from 1 species
CAAAAAGACAGUCUCAGUUCAGAUUGUAGGCUGAAACUCGCCUAUAUGAAGUCGGAAUUGCUAGUAAUCGCAGAUCAGCAUGCUGCGGUGAAUACGUUCCCGGGCCUUGUACACACCGCCCGUCACACCAUGAGAGUCGAUAACACCCGAAGCCUGUAGUCUAACCAUAAGGAGGACGCAGUCGAAGGUGGGAUUGAUAAUUAGGGUGAAGUCGUAACAAGGUAAC